rnacentral:tRNA from 1 species
AAACUUAGGAUAACACCCCUCCAAACCGAAG